rnacentral:tRNA from 1 species
GGGGUUAUAGUACAAUUGGCUAGUACACCAGAUUGUCGAUCUGGAUGUUGCCGGUUCGAGCCCGGUUAACCCCGCCA